UUUGGCUCCGCUACCUCAUCUGAAGUUUGCAACUGUUUGAAGUAUCUUGUUAAAGACCUCUGAAUGGACAGACCUGGAGACAGUGUGAACCAGAGAGAGUCCCAAAGAAGAAGUCAGGGACUGAUCUUAACUGGUGCAGGUCCCCACCGGUACACAGAAAGUGACUUUGUGAACAGUGAAGAAAGAGCAACAACCUGAAUAGGGCAGUGAAGACAUCAAUGGACAUGAAUAAAAGGGAAAGCUGUGUAAGGAAAGGAAACGGUAAAGCCAGGAAGUAUAUCCCUUCCACUGCGGUGGGUGGUAUCCUUAAC